CGCGUGCAUCGCUUUUUGGAAGGCGAGGGAAAAGAAAAGGGGAAGUGGCAACAAGAGAAAAGAAAAUAGGAAGCCAACCAAACCUAGCCCGCGCCUCCGCAACCCCUGCCGCCGCCGCCUCCUCCUCUUCUGCCGCCGCCGCCUCGGCCUCGUCUCCUUUCUUGCCCUCAGCGGCCACCAGCGACCUCCGAGCCCCCCUUCUCCACCUCGUCACUGUGGUCACCUAGCUUGAGCUCGAGCGAAGGAGCGACUCGGCAGGACGCCGGGGGGCAGGGGCAGCAGCCAGCCGCGCCUCGCCCCGUGCUCUGCAGGCGCCCAUCGGCCUCGACCCGGCCGACGGCAGGAGGAGCUCGAGCCGAAGCCGAGGAGCGUGGCCUUGAUCCGGACUUGACUGCCUACUGGAGCAGCUGGAGAGAAGUGGUGGAUCCGACGGGGCUGGAAUCCCUCAUCACCGGGCGUGGAGGAUGUAUGACUCGCGAAGGAGGUAGCAGAUUGAGCAAAAUGGAGUGGCCUUUCCCAUCCGGUGGCCUACGCGUGUUGUGACUGGCUGCACUCCACUCCUUUCUCCCCUUGGUGGAUAGCUUAAUAUGAGGGGAGGCACAUAGGUUUGCUAAUUCUGUUUCUGGGCUGGCCUAUGAGAUGGAGACCAAAGCAAACUUCAGCAGGUUUCAGAUACCAAAUUAACUAGGCUUACGCAAAUAAGCUUCUUCAUUGUUUCCCUUCUGGGGAAAAGUUGUGGUCAUGUUAGUUCGUUGGUUGGCAUGCAUCUGCAAUAACUGCGUGGUGAAGCACUGGUCCUAAUAUGUCAUGGGUUUCAGUGGCGCGUAAGUAGGAUCUACUCAUUGUUCCAUUGACUGCCCUCCGGUGAAUUUUCACCCAUUUCCCUCUUUGAUGCUUUUGCAUCCAUAUGUCUAACUUGGUCUUCUUUCAACAUUUCUCAUGGUUUAUGUGGUAGCGUGGUUGGCUGACAGCUUAUAGCUUUCUGUAUCCUCUAUCAAAUGUGCGUGCUAUGAUAUUCUGUAAGGCUAGGAUCAUUUCUUGCCUUCAUAAUGUGUUAAAUUAAUUAUCAUAGUUAUAUGGUGAAUCUCGACAAUCCCCCGAGGACCAGGCCAUAGCUUAUGGUCCCUGUUUGGGUUUAUUUUGUUGCAAAAUGUAUUUUUGAAAAAAUGUUAUUAAGUUAUCGCUUUCUCCGCC